AUUCUCCUGCGUCAGCCUCUCAAGCUGCUGGGAUUACAGGCGCUUUCCACCAUGCCAGGCUAAUUUUUUUUUUUUUUUUUGGAGACAGAAUCUGGCUCUCUCGCCCAGGCUGGAGUGCAGUGGCACGGUCUCGGCUCAUUACAAGCUCCACCUUCUGGGUUCACGCCAUUCUCCUGCCACAGCCACCCGAGUAGCUGGGACUACAGGCACCCGCCACCAUGCCCGGCUAAUUUUUUUGUAGUUUUGAGAGGCGACAUUCGUGCUGGCUCGCUCUCCGCGCCUCCUCGGCCUUAGUGCCCACUCUGGCCGCGCUUGAGGAGCCCUUCAGCCCACCGCUGCACUGAGGGAGCCCCUCUCUGCUGGCUAAGGCCAGAGCCGGCUCCCUCUGCUUGCAGGGAGGUGUGGAGGGAGAGACGCCGGCUGGAACUGGGGCUGCCCGCGGUGCUCGCGGGCCAGAGCGAGUUCCCGGUUGGUGCGGGCUUGGCAGGCCCUGCACUGAGAGCGGCGCGCCGGGCAGUGAGGGGCUUAGUACCCGGACCAGCAGCUACGGAGGGUGCGCUGGGUCCCCCAGCACUGCCGGCCUGCCCGCGCCCCACUUGAAUUCUCGCAGGGCCUCAGCAGCCUCCCAACAGUGCAGGGCUUGGGACCUGCAGCCCGCCAUGCCCGAGCCCCGCACCCCCGCCGUGAGCUGCUGCGUGGCCGCCCCCUGCUCCGCGGCGCCUGGUCCCCUCGGCCGCCAAGGGCUGAGUGCCAGCUAACAGCGCGGGACUGGCGGGCAGCUCCCACAGGCGGCCCUAGCGGGGGAUCCACUAGGUGAAGCCCGCUGCGCUUCUGAGUUGAGUGGGGACUUGGAGAACUUUUAUGUCUAGCUGGAGGAUUGUAAAUGCACCAAUCAGCACCCUGUGUCUAGCUAAAGGGUCUCACUCUGUUGGCCAGGCUGGAGUGCAGUAGUACAGUCUUGGCUCACUGCAACCUCUGUCUCCCGGGUUCAAGUGAUUCUCCUGCCUCAGCCUCCCAAGUUGUUGGAAUUACAGGUGUUUCUUUGCCUUUCAGAAAUAUAAGGGUUUGAAUUAGAAUAUUUUAUGCCACCUGUGUUGCUGGAACCUAAAUCAUAUUUGUAGGGAAGAAGGAUGAAGAGGGAGAUAUUUAUGCCACGUGAAGACCAUGAUUGCUUCCCCUUCACCCUUCUACCUUUGUAAGUUUCCUGAGGCCUCCCCAGAAGCAGAAGCCUGCAUAGUCUGCAGAACUUUCACUAUAUAGAAUAAACAGUUAAUUGUACUUUCAGUGAAAACUUCAAGUAGAAGUAAGAUUCUUGGGCUUGGAAAGAGCAUUAAAGAUCCUCAGGUCCAGCUAUGAACCCAGUAUAGGAAAGCCAUCUACUUCAACUUUCCUGAGUGACAGGAAGGCAAACGCAAGUAGAAGAAGGAAGUUGGAGGAAGAAGGAGUAGGAAGAGGAAUAAGAAGAGGAGGAGGAGGAAGAGGAAAAAGAAGAACAAGAAGAAGGAGAAGGAGAAGAAGAAAGAAGAAAGAGAAGGAGCAGCAGUGGCGGUGGCAGCCACAGGAGCAGAAGGAACAGAAGAUGACUACAAUGCUGAUGAAGAGACAAUGAAACAUAGCUACUUACUCUUGUCACGCUGAAUUAUAUGAUUAUUGCUGAUGAUCAAAAUUAUGAAAAUCAUGUGAAGGCAUAAAAUAAUGCAUGCAUGACUUAGAAUUUAACUUUCUAUAAAUUUAAAAUUGGUUGUUUAUUGCUUUGUUCAAAAAAUUGGAGCUGACUCUUCCUCCUCAAAACGGAGUGAAUUACAAGUAAAAUUGAAAGUACAAUUAAACCUUUUUAAUGAUGACCCUCCAAACCAGGAAAAACCCUAAACAAAGUGUAUUUAGAUUAUAUUUUUGAUGAUAUAUGUUAAAUGCCUUUGCUAUUAUUUGCACAAAAUUCCAAUUUCUAAAAUGGACACUUAUUCUGUUAUUAAAAUUGUCCAAAAGCUAAACACACAAUUAAGAAGGCCUAUACUAUUUAACAGUUCCCAAAGCAAAUACAGUUAGGUUUAUAUAUUA